rnacentral:rRNA from 1 species
ACCGAGUUAUUCUACUCCCAAACCCCUGUGAACUUAUACCUUUACUGUUGCUUCGGCGGGUUAACGCCCCGGAAGGCCCGCGAGGGCCGCCGGAACCAGGCGCCCGCCGGGGGACCCAAACUCUUGUAUCUUUUUUAUAGCAUGUCUGAGUGGAAUCAUAAACAAAUGAAUCAAAACUUUCAACAACGGAUCUCUUGGUUCUGGCAUCGAUGAAGAACGCAGCGAAAUGCGAUAAGUAAUGUGAAUUGCAGAAUUCAGUGAAUCAUCGAAUCUUUGAACGCACAUUGCGCCCGCCAGUAUUCUGGCGGGCAUGCCUGUUCGAGCGUCAUUUCAACCCUCAAGCCCCAGUGGCCUGGUGUUGGGGACCGGCGACCUCGCCCGGGGGAACACCCCCGGCGCGUCCGCCGCCCCCGAAAUGAAUUGGCGGCCCCGUCGCGGCCUCCUCUGCGUAGUAGCACAACCUCGCAGCGGGAGCGCGACGCGGCCACUGCCGUAAAACGCCCAACUUUUUUUAGAGUUGACCUCGGAUCAGGUAGGAAUACCCGCUGAACUUAAGCAUAUCA